UCUUUUUAACAUAAGUGUAUCCCACAUAUGAGCAUGGGAUGUAGUUAUGUACAAAGUUUAUCUGACAUUCAAAGUUAGCAGGGUGUCCUGUGUAAGUGAAGUGAAAGUUAGCGCACAGUUGUGUCCGCCUCUUUGCAAUCCCAUGGACUAUAGCCCCCCAGGCUCCUCUGUCCCUGGAAUUCUCCAGGCAGUAAUACUGGAGUGGGUUGCCAUUUCCUUCUCCAGGGGAUCUUCCUGACCCGGGGAUUGAACCCGGGUCUCCUGCACUGCAGGCAGAUUCUUUACCACCAGAGCCACUAGGGAAGCCAAUAUUCCCUACAUGUAGUUUUGUACGAAGUUAGUUAGCAGGGCGUCCUGUAUUUUUGCUAAAUGUGGUCAUGCAUACAUGCAUGCUAAGUCGCUUAGUUGUGUCCAACUCUUAGGGACCCCACGGACUGUAGUCUGCCAGGCUCCUCUGUCCAUGGGAUUCUCCAGGCAAGAAUACUAGUCACUCUGGCCCAAAGGAAUUGUUUGGGAUGCCACGUGCCUCAGUUUCCCCAGGGCUCUCUGAUAACAGCAAUCACGUGCAUCCAGCUCUGUCCUAAUAUUUUGCAGGCAUGGCGGGGUCUCCACAUGAGCCACCUGCCCAGUGACAUGGUUGGGGGAGUUGGGCUUUGAACCCAAAAUUCACAGCUAGAGGGGGACUUGCUGACUCUUCCUCGGCUUUGGAUGUCCCUCUGGGAGCCUGGACUUCCAACCUGUCUUUGGUUUCUGCGCCUAACAGGGAACUCACUCCUACCUGGGAUUCGCCAGAGCCAGAGGAGAGAAUUCCCUCCUGGGCCUGGAGGCUGGACCAUGGAUCUCCAUCCAAGUUUGAGGGCUUUGGCAUGGACCUUGGAAGAGCUCAAUCUGGACAAGGGAGAUGGGGUCCCCCAGGGCCAAUCCCCAGCCCCACGGCGCCCGUUCCCCUCAUCCCACCCACCUCCCAACCCCAGCUGCUCCAGCUGUAACGGCUGUAGCCAAGGCUGUCGCAAGAAGCAACGUUCUCCUGGCUUGGAGCAAGGCUCGGGGCGGGAACCAACGGAUCCAUCUGAGGAAGAGGCAGGCGGGGGCACCCAGGGACACCCAGAGCCCAGCUGGGGUGGGAGUCCAGUUUGUCCCUGGGCCCCCCCCACCCCUGGUGUGUGGCCACAGGCAAGUCAACCCCCAUCUCUCCCCUCUUUGCAGGUUCCCCACUUUGUUGAGUUAAAGCUACCAUAGAGCACUUGGUAAGCACCUGCUGUAUACAUAACCCAGUUUCCAUCAGGGCUAGGGAGAAUUGAGGAGGCUGUGUCUCAGGUGGGGAGACCAGAUUUAAACAAAGUUGGAUCUUUUGAGGACCACCUGCAUGCUACAUCCUCACAGGUUGCGAUGGCUAAACUUGUGGACUCCAGGGGACUUGCCCACUGUGACUUCAGGCCCUCUCCAAGCCUCAGUUUCCUCAUCUGUAAAAUGGAAGCUGUAGGUUCCCAUUUCACGAGAUUGUCCCACGGAUUAAAUGAAUGGACUUGUAUGAAGUUCUUAGAUAAGAAAGUGCCGUCCUUGAGGGUUUGUUAACCAUUAACCCUCUCCCAGAGGGUAUGGUGAUGAUCCUCUUGGGGGUGUUCUGGUUCCCAUCAGAGUAGUGAUGCCACGUGGAGCAUCUCAC
ensembl:lncRNA